GACGAACGCUGGCGGCGUGCUUAACACAUGCAAGUCGAACGGAAAGGCCCUGCUUUUGUGGGGUGCUCGAGUGGCGAACGGGUGAGUAACACGUAAGUAACCUGCCCUUGACUUUGGGAUAACUUCAGGAAACUGGGGCUAAUACCGGAUAGGAGCUCCUGCUGCAUGGUGGGGGUUGGAAAGUUUCGGCGGUUGGGGAUGGACUCGCGGCUUAUCAGCUUGUUGGUGGGGUAGUGGCUUACCAAGGCUUUGACGGGUAGCCGGCCUGAGAGGGUGACCGGCCACAUUGGGAUUGAGAUACGGCCCAGACUCCUACGGGAGGCAGCAGUGGGGAAUAUUGCACAAUGGGCGGAAGCCUGAUGCAGCAACGCCGCGUGCGGGAUGACGGCCUUCGGGUUGUAAACCGCUUUCGCCUGUGACGAAGCGUGAGUGACGGUAAUGGGUAAAGAAGCACCGGCUAACUACGUG
rnacentral:rRNA from 1 species